AUGAACGCUGGCUGUGUGCCUAAUACAUGCAUGUCGAGCGAAGCACUUCGGUGCUUAGCGGCGAAUGGGUGAGUAACACGUACUACACCUACUUNUNUGUGACAGUUGGAAACGACUGCUAAUACCGAAUACGCUAUUUGGGGGCAUCCCCGAGUAAUGAAAGACCCGUUUGGGUCGCAAUGAGAUGGGAGUGCGCUACAUUAGUUAGUUGGUGGGGUAAAGGCCUACCAAGACGAUGAUGUAUAGCGGGGUUGAGAAGCUGAUCCGCCACACUGGGACUGAGAUACGGCCCAGACUCCUACGGGAGGCAGCAGUAGGGAAUUUUCCACAAUGGAGACGAAAG
rnacentral:rRNA from 1 species